rnacentral:rRNA from 1 species
CCUACGGGUGGCAGCAGUGAGGAAUAUUGGUCAAUGGGCGAGAGCCUGAACCAGCCAAGUCGCGUGAGGGAGUACUGCCCUAUGGGUUGUAAACCUCUUUUGUCGGGGAGCAAAAGCCGGACGUGUCCGGCUGUGAGAGUACCCGAAGAAAAAGCAUCGGCUAACUCCGUGCCAGCAGCCGCGGUAAUACGGAGGAUGCGAGGGUUAUCCGGAUUUAUUGGGUUUAAAGGGGGCGCAGGCGGAUUUUUAAGUCAGCGGUAAAAUCGUGGGGCUCAACCCCAUCCAGCCGUUGAAACUGGGGAUCUAGAGUGUGCGAGAGGUAUGCGGAAUGCGUGGUGUAGCGGUGAAAUGCAUAGAUAUCACGCAGAACCCCGAUUGCGAAGGCAGCAUACCGGUGCACAACUGACGCUCAGGCACGAAAGCGUGGGUAUCGAACAGGAUUAGAUACCCCAGUAGUC